rnacentral:rRNA from 1 species
UGCGGUUAAAACGUUCGUAGUUGAAUUUGUGUCCCACACGGGUAAUGCACCCAAGUGCGGGUUUUGCAUUACUUGUUGCUUAUGCAUUGGUAAAACAAUGUGUAAGUGACUUUAAGUGUGACGGAUGUUUUACCGGU